CUCUGAUAUUCUGCUGAGAGAUCAGACAGAGUCAUGUCGUUCUUCCACGGAUCUGAGCAAGCGGCGAGGCUUUUCCUGGCGAUGUGUGUGUGGGGAGUCUUCCUUCAGCCAGCAGAGCAGGUGUGUGUGAGAGAGAGAUCAGCCUGGAGGGCAGAAGGGAUCAUAGAGCUCAUUGUGUGUGACCCUUGAACACAAAAUCAGUCAUAAGUAGCACAGGUAUAUGUGUAGAAAUUGUUCAAGAGUGUCUGCUACAGAAAUACAAGUACUUUUGUAUGUGUGUAUUUGUGUUCAGUUUCCGGUGGGAGAGGGUUUCAAUCUGCUGUUGUACCCGGUAUCAGUGAUGGGGCCGUACGGAUCUCACACAGUUCUGAUACCAGUGACCGGGACUGAGCAGAACACACAGCGCAGCCAAACUCCACAGGCAAACAGCAGCAAGAUCAGUGCUCAAAGUGUGUCCAAGCCUUUACAUGCAAGCAGUGGGUUUCUCCAGCCGGACCCCACCCCUGACGCUGCCCCUAGCCCUGCCCGUGUCCUGUCUGAAUCUUUGCCUUUGCAGGGGCAGGUACAGAGCAGCUCUCAGUUCACACACACUUCCUCAGCCUGCUCUGUCCUCAUGCCUUUCUUGAUUUCUUUUUGUUUCAGAUGUCAAAUUUUGUCUCCUCAAACGUUCCUCUGCAGGUCAGUCAGUGACCGUACUCUAUUGUUCAGUUGUCUUUAGUCAUUAAACAUUUUCUCAUUCUUUUACUCUAAAGUCAAACCUCACACAGUUUGUUAUUCCUUCACGUCUUUGUAGAGGCUCACUUUGGGUGUUUUUGUGUGAUUUUUAGGUCUAUUCAUUUGUCCAGCAGGCUGUAAUCGUAAGUUUGUUUGCACAAUUUCACAUCGGAUAAAAAUCUGUUUAUAAAUUGAAUUAAGACAUUGAUUAAUUUUUAUUUCAGUCAGACUCAGGCAGUUCAGAGGAAGGAGCCGCUGCUCAGGUAAACACACGCACACACACACACACACAAAGAUUCAUUGAACUAAAUGCAGCAGCUCGGCUUUCAACUGGGACUAAAAAGUAUGAGCACAUUACCCCUGUCCUAGCUUCACUAGAUUGGCUUCCUGUCCGCUUCAGGAUUGAUUUCAAGAUUUUAUUGUUUGUUAAAGCGCUGAGGUCAUCCAAUCAGGGGCUCCUCAAUGUACCGAGAACUAGGUUAAAAAAAUAAAGGUGACCAAGCUUUUCAGUUGUGGCACCUAAUUUGUGGAAUAGUUACCUGUACACAUAAGAACUGCUCAGACUGUUGGAAUUUUUAAGUCAUUACUUA
rnacentral:lncRNA from 1 species